CGGAGGAUCCAAGCGUUAUCCGGAAUCAUUGGGUUUAAAGGGUCCGUAGGCGGUUUUGUAAGUUAGUGGUGAAAUCCGGUCGCUCAACGAUCGAACGGCCAUUGAUACUGCAGGACUUGAAUUAUUGUGAAGUAACUAGAAUAUGUAGUGUAGCGGUGAAAUGCUUAGAGAUUACAUGGAAUACCGAUUGCGAAGGCAGGUUACUAACAAUAUAUUGACGCUGAUGGACGAAAGCGUGGGGAGCGAACAGGAUUAGAUACCCUGGUAGUCCACGCCGUAAACGAUGGAUACUAGCUGUUCGACCGCAAGGUUGAGUGGCUAAGCGAAAGUGAUAAGUAUCCCACCUGGGGAGUACGGGCGCAAGCCUG
rnacentral:rRNA from 1 species